AGGUUUCUGCAAUGACCAAGAACAUUGCACAAAGGAACUUCUUUGAUGGGGGCUGACAGCUGCUCUCAUCUGCAGGUGGAGAGAUACAAAUUUAGAGGGCAGUUUGUUACUGUGUCCACUUUACCAAAUAACAGCAGUGGAGUCAUCUCUGAGGCAUGUGAACAGUCCAAGCAAAGGUUCUUGGCCUGAUUCGAAGUACCAGGUAUCUUGGCCUGAUUCGAAGUACCAGGAUCUUGAUGCAGAUGUGGAAGCUGACCUGAAGCUGUGUCUGCUGUGUGGGGCUGGGCGGCUCAAUGGCCAUCUCAAUCAUGGUUCAUCCCUUCAGAGAUAACUUCUCAAAACUGAGGCAGGUUAUAGAGAGGAACCAAGAGAUGGAGGACUCUCUUUUCCAUUUGCUUCCUGUUUUAAUACACACACACAGAGAUCUGUUAGUGUAGUGAGCUUGGUCUCUUCUUCCCCACUCAUUUGAAUUUAAACCGUGGAAAGAAAUGACUUGGUGUCAGGGUUCAGCUUCUCCAUUGGACACAUGGAAUCAUCCUCUUCCCCUCUUAUCACUAUGUGCCAGAGCAAGUGACCAGUCUUGGAUAACAGGUGUUCAUUUUGUAGAUUCAACAUUUUUCUUCCAUGUAU